rnacentral:rRNA from 1 species
UACGGAGGAUCCAAGCGUUAUCCGGAUUUAUUGGGUUUAAAGGGUGCGUAGGCGGCCUAUUAAGUCAGGGGUGAAAGACGGUAGCUUAGCUAUCGCAGUGCCUUUGAUACUGAUGGGCUUGAAUGUACUUGAGGUAGGCGGAAUGUGACAAGUAGCGGUGAAAUGCAUAGAUAUGUCACAGAACACCAAUUGCGAAGGCAGCUUACUAAAGUAUGAUUGACGCUGAGGCACGAAAGCGUGGGGAUCAAACAGG